UCCCUUUUUUAGUCGUAAUAGGUCUCAAGAAAUCACAUCUGUUAUUUGUUUUGUCCCCUUUUUAAUCUUGUCUCAAUAAAUCUCAUCUGUAUCAAACUGUAGACACAGAUGUUUUUUUCACGCUGCGUUUUUCUUCUUCUCUGCCAAAAAAAUCACUCGUCCAACUAUCAAUCGGCGACCAGUUUAUUUUCCGCUUGAACUGGGAUUGGAUUCUGCUUCGUUCAAAGCCAAGCGAAAAGACAAGGAAGAGAUGGGUGCACAAAUCAGCCAACUACCACUCACUCAUUCGGGGUGUCCUAGUGCGCUACCAAUAGAAAGGUUUGAUCAUAACAAGAUAGCUGUGGAGCAAGACAAAGGUGAAAGUUCCAAAAUGAAGGAUCAAAAUGUUGAAAAACCUCGCAAAUUGAAGGGCAUUUUAAAAUGCAUAUUAUACUGCUGCCUCUUUCCUGAUAAUUAUGAAUUUGAGAAGGAAACAGUUGUCCAGCUAUGGGUGGCUGAAGGAUUUUUUGAACCUGAAGAAGGGGAUAGAAUGGAAGUUUUGGCCAAUUCCUACUUUGAUUACUUGAUAGAAAAGAAAUAUGUGUCACCUUGUAAAUUUGAUUACGUCAGGAGGUCAAUGAAGUACAAGAUCACAGACGCGAUCCAUCAUUCUCUACGAGAUGCAUCACUACUAGGUUAUCGAAAAGUAGAGGAAGCUCAGUUGUGCAGUGUCUCGAAACAUAUCCAACACUUAUUUUUGAUCUCAAAGAACAUUAACCCAUCAAGUUUCAAGAUUCUCAGCAGGUUUGAGGAUUUGCACACAUUGUUUUGUCAACUUGGCUCUUCUACUGGACGUGUACCUCAAGAUCUUUUUUAUAGUGUGAAGCAGUUGAGAAGUUUGGGUUUGCGUCGAAGUAGCAUAUCUGAAAUACCAAGUUGUAUAGGGAGUCUAAAAUAUUUGCGUUACUUAGAUGUCUCAGAAACACCAAUCAAGUAUUUGCCAGAAUCUAUAGCUCUUCUUGAUAAUUUACAAACACUAAAACUUGAUGGUUGUUUGAAUCUUGUCAGGUUACCUUUUGAUGUAAGCAAAUUAGCUAAACUCCGUCAUUUGGAGUUUGACAUACUUGGCCGAUUAAGUUCAAUGCCGGUUAAGAUGGGGAAUCUAACCAGUCUACAAACAUUGAGAGCAUUCCUGGUGGGAAGGGAGGAUGGUUGUCGUAUUGAGGAGUUAAAGUAUCUAAAUAACAUCAGUGGUUCAUUUUGCCUUUCAGAGCUUCAAAAUGUUUUGACCUCUCAUGAGGCAAAGGAAGCGGCCAUGACCAAUAAGAAAUACAUUCGCAAACUAGAGCUAAGAUGGCGGCAUCGUGGCAUUGGUAGGCCAAAGGCUGAAGAGGAGAUACUAGAUUGCCUUCAACCUGAUGCAUGCCUUCAGGAAUUGCGCAUCCUUCGCUACAGUGGUUCAGUGUUUCCCGAUUGGAUUAACAGUUCAUAUCUCUGCAACAUUGUUAAUAUUACAUUGUAUGACUGCAGAAAUUGUCUUGUUCUACCAUCGCUUGGGGGAUUGCCAUUGUUAAAGUCACUUCACAUAAUUGAGGUUCCGUUGGUGGGGGUUAUUGAUAGUCACUUCCAUAGAAGUUAUGGUAAUGAAGUGUAUCACGCAUUCCCAAAGCUAGAGGAGCUGAUAAUUGAUGGCUUGCAUGGUCUAAAAGAGUGGUCUGGAGUGGUAAAUGGUGACUUCCCCUGCCUUUCUGUCUUAGUAAUAAGAAGGUGCCCCAAUCUUGUUUCCCUUCGAUGGCUUUCAUAUUUGUGUUCUCUAAAAAAUUUGGAAAUAACUGACUCUGGGGAAAUUUCAUCCCUGGGCAACAAAGAGCUUUCAUCUUCGCUUGAAUUUCUGAGUAUAAGUAAUUGCCCAAAACUAAAAGAAAAAUACUGCAAGCCUAAAGUUAGUGGUUGGUUUUCCUUAUCAAGAACAGCUAGUGGUUGGUUUCAGAUAGCUCAUGUGCCUUCUAUAAUAAUUGAUCUUAUGUGGUAUCGAUGAAGGAUGAAGAAGACUAAGGGUCAACAUAAAGCUAGAUUGGUAUGUGUGCUUCUUACUCUGUUAGUUCAAAUGCAGCUUAUGAAGACAACAAAGGCAAACACACUCAUGUCGUAGCAGUUCUCCAUUCAGUGACAUGGAUGGAUAGAGUUCCAAGUUGGAGGCUAAACAUUCAUUUUGCAUAUCUUGUUUGUUUUAACUUCUUAACAUUUAUGCACAUCUGAGAUUCAUUUUGAUUAGCAGAGGGUCUCUGUCAACUUCAAGGUGCUAAAUUUACUACGACUAUUUGUGAUCUAGUGGGGAAACCGAACUGAUUGAGCGAACGUGGUUAGAUUUUGAAAAAGUGACAAUGGAUUUUACUUUUUCUUGCUUGGAAGAGACAACUUUUGGGAUGAAUACUAGCACCAAGUCAGGUCAUUUAGCCAUUUGAGAGAAGAAUAGCAUGUGUUUAGUAAAGUGGCCGUGCAUAUGGCCCAAUGCCUUUUGUGAACUGCGUGCAUUUGUCGAUUGAAGCAUCUAAUUAUUUGUUUUUUAAGUCUUGGAGUUAAAGGAUUAUGUGUCUUUGUGAUUGUUGUCUCGUUUUCAGGAGCUUCUGUUCCAUUAAUAAAUUGGUCCACGUGCUUGUUGUCCCUGUAGAUCACAGAUUCCAUAAUUGCACCACAUGCCCACAGCUAACGAGGAAACUUGCUGUGCACAUUUCUGGAACUGAUUGUUUUCUAAGAUACCGCAGAUGAAGUUUAACACGCGUAAAGAUAGUUUUUGUUUU